rnacentral:rRNA from 1 species
UUAUUGGAGAGUUUGAUCCUGGCUCAGGAUGAACGCUGGCGGCGUGCCUAAUACAUGCAAGUCGAGCGAAUGGAUUAAGAGCUUGCUCUUAUGAAGUUAGCGGCGGACGGGUGAGUAACACGUGGGUAACCUGCCCAUAAGACUGGGAUAACUCCGGGAAACCGGGGCUAAUACCGGAUAACAUUUUGAACUGCAUGGUUCGAAAUUGAAAGGCGGCUUCGGCUGUCACUUAUGGAUGGACCCGCGUCGCAUUAGCUAGUUGGUGAGGUAACGGCUCACCAAGGCAACGAUGCGUAGCCGACCUGAGAGGGUG